ACGUGGCUGGCUCAGUCGGUAGAGCAUGUGACUCUUAAUCCUAGGGCUGUGAGGUCAAGCCCCACGUUGGGUG
rnacentral:tRNA from 1 species